UGCAGGAUAUAUGAUUGCUUAUGGAAUCAAUUAGAGUUAAUUGGAAAUGAGCAAGUUGUGCUGAUGUAGGAGUCACUGCAUACUCUAUAUGUAGAUACAUUCAUACGUAAAGAAAAAGAGAUAAAAGUAUAUGGUUGGCUAUAAUAUGGAAAGUUUAAAAAGUUAAAAUCCACAAAGCAUAAAGUAUAAAUAUGGAAUCUGGAAGCACUGAAAAAGCAUUGUAUUGAAUCUGGAUACUAUGUAGAGAGAAAAAUAAACACAAGAUACGAUCAUAAUGUUAAUAGACUAC